rnacentral:rRNA from 1 species
GGAAUCUUCGGCAAUGGACGAAAGUCUGACCGAGCAACGCCGCGUAAGUGAAGAAGGUUUUCGGAUCGUAAACUCUGUUGGUAGAGAAGAACGUUGGUGAGAGUGGAAAGCUCAUCAAGUGACGGUAACUACCCAGAAAGGGACGGCUAACUACGUGCCAC